GAUGAAGAACGUAGCGAAAUGCGAUACGUAAUGUGAAUUGCAGAAUUCAGUGAAUCAUCGAAUCUUUGAACGCAUAUUGCGCUCUCUGGUAUUCCGGAGAGCAUGCUUGUUUGAGUAUCAGUAAACACCUCAACUUCCAUAUCUUUUUUGAAAUGGGAGUUGGACUUGAGUGAUCCCAACGCUUUUCCUCACCGAAAAGUGGCGGGUUACUUGAAAUGCAGGUGCAGCUGGACUUUUCUCUGAGCUAUAAGCAUAUCUAUUUAGUCUGCCUAAAAAACAGAUUAUUACCUUUGCUGCAGCUAACAUAAAGGAGAUUAGUUCUUGUGCUGACUGAUGCAGGAUUCACAAAGACAGGCUUCGGCCGACUUUGUAAACUCGAUCUCAAAUCAAGUAAGACUACCCGCUGAACUUAAGCAUAUCAAUAAGCGAAGGA
rnacentral:misc_RNA from 1 species